rnacentral:rRNA from 1 species
AGGCUUAACACAUGCAAGUCGAGGGGCAGCAUGGUCUUAGCUUGCUAAGGCCGAUGGCGACCGGCGCACGGGUGAGUAACACGUAUCCAACCUGCCGUCUACUCUUGGACAGCCUUCUGAAAGGAAGAUUAAUACAAGAUGGCAUCAUGAGUCCGCAUGUUCACAUGAUUAAAGGUAUUCCGGUAGACGAUGGGGAUGCGUUCCAUUAGAUAGUAGGCGGGGUAACGGCCCACCUAGUCUUCGAUGGAUAGGGGUUCUGAGAGGAAGGUCCCCCACAUUGGAACUGAGACACGGUCCAAACUCCUACGGGAGGCAGCGGUGAGGAAUAUUGGUCAAUGGGCGAGAGCCUGAACCAGCCAAGUAGCGUGAAGGAUGACUGCCCUAUGGGUUGUAAACUUCUUUUAUAAAGGAAUAAAGUCGGGUAUGGAUACCCGUUUGCAUGUACUUUAUGAAUAAGGAUCGGCUAACUCCGUGCCAGCAGCCGCGGUAAUACGGAGGAUCCGAGCGUUAUCCGGAUUUAUUGGGUUUAAAGGGAGCGUAGAUGGAUGUUUAAGUCAGUUGUGAAAGUUUGCGGCUCAACCGUAAAAUUGCAGUUGAUACUGGAUAUCUUGAGUGCAGUUGAGGCAGGCGGAAUUCGUGGUGUAGCGGUGAAAUGCUUAGAUAUCACGAAGAACUCCGAUUGCGACGGCAGCCUGCUAAGCUGCAACUGACAUUGAGGCUCGAAAGUGUGGGUAUCAAACAGGAUUAGAUACCCUGGUAGUCCACACGGUAAACGAUGAAUACUCGCUGUUUGCGAUAUACAGCAAGCGGCCAAGCGAAAGCGUUAAGUAUUCCACCUGGGGAGUACGCCGGCAACGGUGAAACUCAAAGGAAUUGACGGGGGCCCGCACAAGCGGAGGAACAUGUGGUUUAAUUCGAUGAUACGCGAGGAACCUUACCCGGGCUUAAAUUGCAGAUGAAUUACGGUGAAAGCUGUAAGCCGCAAGGCAUCUGUGAAGGUGCUGCAUGGUUGUCGUCAGCUCGUGCCGUGAGGUGUCGGCUUAAGUGCCAUAACGAGCGCAACCCUUGUUGUCAGUUACUAACAGGUUCCGCUGAGGACUCUGACAAGACUGCCAUCGUAAGAUGUGAGGAAGGUGGGGAUGACGUCAAAUCAGCACGGCCCUUACGUCCGGGGCUACACACGUGUUACAAUGGGGGGUACAGAGGGCCGCUACCACGCGAGUGGAUGCCAAUCCCAAAAACCUCUCUCAGUUCGGACUGGAGUCUGCAACCCGACUCCACGAAGCUGGAUUCGCUAGUAAUCGCGCAUCAGCCACGGCGCGGUGAAUACGUUCCCGGGCCUUGUACACACCGCCCGUCAAGCCAUGGGAGCCGGGGGUACCUGAAGUGCGUAACCGCGAGGAGCGCCCUAGGGUAAAACUGGUGACUGGGGCUAAGUCAUAACA